UGGAGCCGUGUGGAAGAGGACCCUCCG
rnacentral:piRNA from 1 species